GUGAUUGCUUUGGCAGCACAUAUUCUAAAAUUGAAACAAAACUCAGAAGAUUAGCAUGUCCCUACAUAAUGAUGUUAUGCAAAUUCGAGAACCUAUAUUUUA